GACGAACGCUGGCGGCGUGCUUAACACAUGCAAGUCGAACGGAAAGGCCCUGCUUUUGUGGGGUGCUCGAGUGGCGAACGGGUGAGUAACACGUGAGUAACCUGCCAUUGACUUUGGGAUAACUUCAGGAAACUGGGGCUAAUACCGGAUAGGAGCUCCUGCUGCAUGGUGGGGGUUGGAAAGUUUCGGCGGUUGGGGAUGGACUCGCGGCUUAUCAGCUUGUUGGAGUGGUAGUGGCUUACCAAGGCUUUGACGGGUAGCCGGCCUGAGAGGGUGACCGGCCACAUUGGGACUGAGAUACGGCCCAGACUCCUACGGGAGGCAGCAGUGGGGAAUAUUGCACAAUGGGCGGAAGCCUGAUGCAGCAACGCCGCGUGCGGGAUGACGGCCUGCGGGUUGUAAACCGCUUUCGCCUUUGACGAAGCGUGAGUGACGGUAAUGGGUAAAGAAGCACCGGCUAACUACGUG
rnacentral:rRNA from 1 species